UUUAAGUGGAGACCAACACCUAUUAUUAAAGUAGAGCCGGUUGAAAAAGACCCAAGUUACUGUUGGCAAUCUCUCGAAAAUUUCAAUAUUUGAAAUUUGGAAUUCGGUAUAUGACUCUCCUCAAGCACACACACGUAUUUUCCUCCAGUUCCUGCACUUUCUCGGAGACUUGGAACAUUGUCCAAGCUUUUUCCUAGGAUUAGUUCUGUCCUUGGUUUAUUUUUUAUUUUUUAUAUCUAUUCAAUUUUAAUAUUGACCCAUUUGAUUUUGGGCCAUUAGAUGUUCGUAACUUGCUGAUCCAGAUUAGUUCUGUUCAAGAACCGGGAUUUCGAAUUCAGGAUUUAAAUUGUCUUCUUCAUUAGUUUUUAAGUGGAGAAAUCUCAAAGGGAAAGUUUGGUUCAGCUUUUGUAAGGGAUGGAUUCAGUAAUUUGGUAGUACAAAUGGUAGUGAAAGAGCAUGAAAAUGGAAUUUAGCCAGUGAAAUUGUGAUUUGAAAUUAUUGGAAAUGAGUCGGUCUCCCUCAUUUUCAGUGAAGUCAGAACUUAGUCCAAAGCUUGAUCCAGAAUCCUUGAGGCAAUGGGUUGUGGCCUUUUGCAUCAUUAGGUUUGAUCUUGAACAGGGUCAGCUCAUUGAAGAGUGUUACCCACCUGGUUGUCUUACCCAGGAGGAGGAGCUUGAAAUUGCAUUCAGUUCAUUCCCAGAUUCUGUUACCCAGCAUCAGAAUCGCUCAAGCAUUCAUGAUUGCAUGUUCUUUUUCCGGUUUCAAAGGCCGGAGAAUUCUCAAACUGGUAAUGUGUCAGUGUCUUCCACAGAAACAACCGCAACUGAUAAGGAGUCAUCUCCCAAAAACACAGAAAAAAGAACUCUUAGAAGGUUGAAAAGUAACAAUAUUUCUGGUGGUUCAAAAUACAUGUACGGCUAUGUUUUCAAUCGAGAGAGACAUGAUGAGAGGUUGAAGAGAGGUGGAGAGCAGAAGUCGGUGGUAAUUUUGUCUUGCAAUCCAUAUUCUACUGUGUUUAAACCCUUGUUGCAGAUCAUGGGUCCUUUAUACUUUGACAUUGGAAAGAAAGCUCUUGAACAUAUUGCUGCUUAUGUGUCAAUGUGGCCUGCACCUGUACCUGGGAAGCUUAUGGAGCUUCCUAUUGGGAAUGCCAUGCUUAAAGUUAACUUGCCUCCUGCUCACAGCUUGCCCUUGGAAAGUGGAGUGUUUUUGGAAGAAUCUCCUACUUCUUUGGCUCCAUUUCUUCCUAAUAAUCAGUCAGUUCCUCAGGGCCUAUUUCAUGAUUCAGAUAUUUUUGGUACCUUCCGUGGUCUUCUUUUGCAGCUAUGGGUUUUAUGGGAGUUGUUACUUGUUGGUGAGCCUAUUCUUAUCAUUGCUCCAACUCCUCCACAAUGCUGUGAAGCUGUGGCCAGUCUUGUGAGUUUGGUUGCGCCCCUACUUUAUAGUGUUGAUUUUAGGCCUUAUUUCACCAUCCAUAACCCAGAAUUUGCUCAACUAAAUUCUCUUCAAGAAGGAGAUGUGUUUCCUCCUAUGAUUUUGGGUGUGACUAAUCUCUUUUUCCUGAAGUCACUGCACAACAUCCCUCAUAUUGUUUCUGUUGGAAGUCCUGGUCCUAAUUCAAACCGUCUUCCCGCUUCAAAUAAUAGGUCCUCUACUGGCAGAAUUCCUGGUAAAUCUGAAGGAUUUGGUCUUCAACAGCUCUCCUUGAAAAAAUUAUCUCCGUCAAAUUUGUUAAAUGCUGUGAAGUUGAGGCGAGAGGGUCCUCUUUGUCUCAUGACAGAACAUAAGGAAGCCAUAUGGAGCACUUAUGCUGCAACAACCAAGCCAGACACUUCUAUACUAAAUAGGCUUUUAGAUGCAGGCAUGUCACCAAGGGUUGAAGAAUCAAUGUCAGUGGUGAAUAAUGAGAUUCUGCGACGGCAUUUCUUGGAGCUCACUACUAAUUUCUUGGCACCUUUUGGCCCUUAUUUUAGGGCCCUCACACCAUCAGAAGGGUCUUGUCCAUUUUUAGACCCUCCUCCUCGCCCUCCAUUUAAGGCUGAUGAAUUUCUAGCAACCUUAUCAGCAAGAGGACCAGGGAAGUUUUUGUCAAAGAGGAUGAGAUAUAAUUGGCUGGAUUUGUAUAGACGAUUUCUGAAAGGACCGAACUUUAUGCCAUGGUUUCAAAGAAAGCGUGCUGUUGCUGAACAAGAACAACAUAGAUUGUGGAGGCAUGCAAGAAUGAAUGCUGACAUACAACAAUUUAUAUCAAAUAUGUCGGAAUUAGAAAUAGUUGAUUCCUUCAAUGCAAUUGAAAGACAUAUUAUUGGAGACAUAAAGCUGCAGCAAUUUGGAAAGGCAAGUGGAGACUCCACAACCACUUACCAGAAACUAAAGGGGGAUUUACGAGCAUUGUUCAAUGUGCUUCCAAAGGACAUGCAGCAGCUUUUACUUUUAAACCCUGAAAGGGCAGCCCUUCUUCAAGGAAGUCUGGAACACACGAAACUUCCUGGGCGGCCACUUGUACAAGUUGGGGUUAUAUCUUCAGAAUCACCAAGAUAGUAUGAAAAAAAAAUGGUAGUAAAGUAGUCUCUGAUACAGUGUUCCUCUGUGCCGAUUAAGGACACCAAUAUUAUAAUCUCAGCUCCUACUGUUACUGGAAAAAGAGCCCUUCCUGAUCUUAAAGCUUGCCAUUCAAUCAGGUAAAAAAAGUCAAAAAAUGGAGUAACAGUUGAGGUUGUAUGAGAACCAUGGAAUUGCAUUUUUCAGCUUCCCAGUUGAAUCGAGACAUUUCUCUUCUUUUCAACCCCCCAAACAGAUGUGAUUGUUUAUGAUUUUCUGGGAUCCACUAGUUGUUUUUCCAAAGGAGUAAAAAAUUCUAGUUUUGUUUUCGGUUUGGUUGAAACUGUUGAAACUGAUUGUUAGCUCUACCAAAAUAUAGCAACAACGGCUCAGGGCAGAAAUCCCAACUUGUAAUUUUGUAAAUUAAUAUAUUUUUUUUCACUCUUUGCAAUGGGGGUUCAUCUUUUAUAAAGUGAAGAAUUCACCACAA